AAAGGGAGACCUAAUUCAGGUAUGGGACGAAAAAAAGUAGUCCCUACCAAGAAUCAAUCCCAAAAGGUCGGAGCGAGGCAUGAGGCUUUCAAACUAGGUUCUGGGUUCAAACAAGACCUGAAUCAGGAACAAGGGCUAUUAGCUCAGGUGGUUAGAGCGCACCCCUGAUAAGGGUGAGGUCCCUGGUUCGAGUCCAGGAUGGCCCACCUGUACAGGUGGCAAAAAGAAAGAAAAGAAGGGAGGAAUCAGCACCUUAUCUUACUUAUAUAGUAAGAGAGAAUGCUGGCUCUGAGUUCAGAGUCCAGAGGAACCUUGAAAACUGCAUAGAGCUAGGUGAAAAAGCCAAAAAAGAAGACCGCAAG
rnacentral:tRNA from 1 species